AAGAACCAGAUGCUCCGCAGGGCGUAGCUUUAUACGACCGCAGAGGUUGAACCCUGAACGGUUGGGGCAAGUAUGGACACAACAUUCAAGCUGGAUUCAGCUCUAAAUUUGGAUUGUGAUUAAAUAGUUGACACAGCAUAGGUUUCUGACACAGAAUGAAUGUGUUCUAAUGAACUUAAAAUUUUUGAUUUCUCUUAGAGCAAUUCACUAUGCUGUUGAAUAUUAAUCCUCUCAAAAAAAUGUUUGAAGAAAUUUUCUUUUUUAUUUAUGAAAUUUUAAA
rnacentral:lncRNA from 1 species